GACGAACGCUGGCGGCGUGCUUAACACAUGCAAGUCGGACGGAAAGGCCCUGCUUUUGUGGGGUGCUCGAGUGGCGAACGGGUGAGUAACACGUGAGUAACCUGCCCUUGACCUUGGGAUAACUUCAGGAAACUGGGGCUAAUACCGGAUAGGAGCUCCUGCUGCAUGGUGGGGGUUGGAAAGUUUCGGCGGUUGGGGAUGGACUCGCGGCUUAUCAGCUUGUUGGUGGGGUAGUGGCUUACCAAGGCUUUGACGGGUAGCCGGCCUGAGAGGGUGACCAGCCACAUUGGGACUGAGAUACGGCCCAGACUCCUACGGGAGGCAGCAGUGGGGAAUAUUGCACAAUGGGCGGAAGCCUGAUGCAGCAACGCCGCGUGCGGGAUGACGGCCUUCGGGUUGUAAACCGCUUUCGCCUGUGACGAAGCGUGAGUGACGGUAAUGGGUAAAGAAGCACCGGCUAACUACGUG
rnacentral:rRNA from 1 species